AUACAGUGAUGAGGACACCUCCUAAGUAACUCCUUGAAUAUUUCUCAUGCAACAUACAAGCUUUUAUCUUUAAGUUGAUGGAAAUAUGUGAUCUGAUUUAUCAAUUU
rfam:Citrus clementina cultivar Clemenules unplaced genomic scaffold scaffold_3, whole genome shotgun sequence.